UUUACUGACCCGUUUUUCUCCUGAACGUGAGUCGCGUCGUGGACGGUCAGUUUCCCGUUCCCCGUUCUCUGCUCGCGUCUUCUCGCCAUCUGCUGCCGCCGCCGCCAAUCGCCAUCUGCAGCCCCCGCUGUUCGUCGGUGCUCGCUCCUUGCCUGCUCGAGCUUCUCCCCCGCUGCCUCCGCCUCCACUCGCCAUCUGCAGGCGCAGCCGCUUGCCGGUGCUCGCCCGCUGCCUCCGCCACAACUCGCCAUCUGCUGCCUCUUUCGCAUCUAAAGACAGUCGCCAGGAACCCGACCAGCAGGACACCGUCACAGCUGUUUCGCCGGCCGCCACGCCCAGACGAGGACGACGCUGCGGCCCCCGACCAGCAGGACCCGCCACCGUUGUUCCGCCGGUAGCCACGCCCAGAGGAGGACAUCAACUGGCGCUGGUCCGUCAACCGGCGUGCUGUUGCCAUCGUUGACACGAGGGCUGGAGACGCCGCCACUGUGGUAGACACAGCAUUGCUGCUGCCGCUGUCGUCCUCGAAGAGGAGUGCGGCUGUCGCAGUCUUCAUCGACGAGGAGUCGGGCUGCCAACGGGAUCAUUGUCAACGAAGGGGGGCUGCCGUUUCAGUUCAUUCAGGUUUCUAGCAGAAGUUGGGCUUGUGACUGUUGAACAACCUCUUUCUAAUCUAGCCAUUUUGCAAUCGCAGUAAUGUGAAGCCAUUUGCUCCCAUGGCAAUUAGAAGUGAUUCUUGAUGAUGAAUGAUUAAGUGAAGUGUCGUUUCUGUAUUGUAGGUUUCUAGCAGAAGUUGGGCUUCUGACUGUUGAACAACCUCUUCUUAAUCGAGCCAUUUUGCAAUCGCAGUAAUGUGAAGCCAUCUGCUCUCUGUAUGUAGAUUCGAUGCUCCCACCCACUGGCGGAGAGGGCCUCCACCGCCGUCAGUUGUCCGCAGCUCGCCCGCAUGCCCUUAUCUUCAAUCCAGCAUUCGUUUGACUGACAAUCGCAGCUGAUUCCGCCAAUCACAGCAUUCGGUGAACUCAUGCUGUGAACUCAUUUUAAUUUCUUAGCUGUGAUCUCAAUAUGAAUCAGUUUGAAAUGUUUCAAUUUAUUUCUAAGAUUCUGCCUCAGGGUUAAAUAUGAGUGAGCAGUGAGCUCCCCGAUGCUCAAUUUAUGGAUUGUGAGAUGGCUGUCAAUUUAUGAGUUAUUGUUCGCCACUAGAACCAAAUGUUUCAAAUUUUUUAUGGCUGAAACCCUGAACCACAUACAAGCCAAGAACAAGCAUACAUUGUCAGCACAAGCAUCCAUUGACUAUAUAACAUUGUACCAAAUGGUACCAUUUUCAGUAUCUUUUUACAAUUGCAUUUUGACAAUUAUAAGCACCUGCACAAGAACUAGCUAUACUCUAUUGGCUUACAGAACUGCAAAAUCUCUCCCUGCUACUAUACUAUAUCUUUGUCACUGGCGCCUGCCAUGCUGGCCCACAGCUGCGUUGGAGUACUCUUGCUGAUCGUGCUUGCCAUUGAUCCAUGGCCAUUCAAGGUGUCUGCAGCAUUUGAGGAAGUAUCAGCGAUGGUUGAUAGUGAUACCAGGCAGUCCAGCGAACUAAAAAAUGACACGGAUCAGCAGAACCGGACGGCCAUCUUGACGUGGGUUCCUGAGAAAAGCGAAGUAGCA